rnacentral:rRNA from 1 species
AACGAACGCUGGCGGCAUGCCUAACACAUGCAAGUCGAACGAGACCUUCGGGUCUAGUGGCGCACGGGUGCGUAACGCGUGGGAACCUGCCCUUAGGUUCGGAAUAACUCCCCGAAAGGGGUGCUAAUACCGGAUAAUGUCUUCGGACCAAAGAUUUAUCGCCUUUGGAUGGGCCCGCGUUGGAUUAGCUAGUUGGUAGGGUAAAAGCCUACCAAGGCGACGAUCCAUAGCUGGUCUGAGAGGAGGAUCAGCCACACUGGGACUGAGACACGGCCCAGACUCCUACGGGAGGCAGCAGUGGGGAAUAUUAGACAAUGGGCGAAAGCCUGAUCCAGCAAUGCCGCGUGAGUGAUGAAGGCCUUAGGGUUGUAAAGCUCUUUUACCCGGGAUGAUAAUGACAGUACCGGGAGAAUAAGCUCCGGCUAACUCCGUG